rnacentral:lncRNA from 1 species
CUGUUUGUGAUGAUUACUCAGCGAUAUGCGAUUAAAAGCUUCAAAUUUGCAGAAACCCAUCUUCUUCAGCUCCUACUCUGCCCAUGAUGUCAGAUUCUCUUCUUUCUUAACCUCUCUUUUGAAUUCAUAUGUGGGCUUAAGAUUGUUGGUUUCAUUUCAUGUCUACUUUAUUCCUUUUGUAAUUUGACUUUUCGCUACCUGUCAAUAGCUUAUGGUGAAUUUGGCUUGUGGUAUCGCUAAAGCAUCAUAAUCUCUUCUUCAUUACUGCUAUGUUUCUACUUGUUGGAACAAAAUUUCAUUUAUUGGUGUGCCUUACUUUUCCCAGUGAAAUGAUUCAUAGCCUUACAAGAGAAUAUCAUAACCAUGUUAAAAAAAGCAAUAUGAAGUAAGGAAAACAAAAAUGUUCUAAUUAGUCUAUAUAGUUUAAGAAGACUAAAGCUAUUUCUUAUACUGACAAAUUCUUUUGGGGAUUAUAGAUAUGAGUAGUGUGUUGUAUUAUAAUGAUGCUUCUGCUACUUUCAAAUGCAGAUUCUCAGAGCGUCUUUCAUUGAGAAGUUUCUGGUCUCCAGAAUCCUUUUUGUGCACUUAAGAUUCCUUCUUGGUGUUUGGAGAAAGUUAAGUGAACAUCCCAGUGCAGUGACUUCAACAUGUUCUCAACUUCUCUUAUCACAUUUGAUUCGUCACGAACUAUUAGUUUACCUCCUGGUCUUACUAUUCUAUCCACUUCUGCCAUUACUGGAACAAGAUUGCACCUUUCAAAACAAAACAAAACAAGAGACUUAUUGUUGAUGAAACGUUACCAAAAGGUGUGGAUAUUAUGAGUUACGCUUAUACCUUGUUCUCAACUUUGAGAAAAGAUGAUCUGCAUGUAAGAGAUCAUAGCUUCGAGGUGUUCAUAAUCUGUAGUGAAAUCUCGAGGAGCUGGUUUCCCAUAUAUCCCCAUUUGAGAGCUGUUUAACCAGUAAGGCGGUGUUUGAAGCCGACGGGGCCAAUUCACGGGCCACUUGCUUCCUCUCUCGACCACAUUGGUUUCUGGUAGAUUGCAGCACCAAUACCAUUGAGUUUAUCCUUGUUGAUUGUCACAAGUUCCCAGCACAAGGAUUUUGUCAACGCGGACAUUUCUACAUCACUCAAAACAUCUCAGGUUCAGUGAAACAAACAAAAGAAGGAGGAACUCUAGCCUAAGCAUCCGAUUAAGUUCCAGAAGAAGCAUACCACCCUCAUUAUGCCAUGGGACUCUACAACGUGCACAGUGGAUAAGAUCAAACACUCUGCUCGGGAAUGGCAGUCGCUUAGAGCCCAUAACUGCUGAGAUGGCUGGAAUCUUUCUUUCAAGAGCAAACUGGACUUGAGCCUCGUGUUCAUCUUUUGGUGCAAGAGACAUUGCUAUAACAUCUCUUUCAAAGAGGAAACCGCCAAAGCUCGCCACUCCACAUCCAACAUCCAAUAUGACCCGAGUACGUUUACCCCACGCAAUGUUUUUCAAAGACUGCCAUAGUAGAAAAAAGGAACCAUUAUAUUCUGCAUAAAAUUUCUAUCUUUUACUUGUUGCAGUUUUAACACUAUACUGAAAUCAAGAAAUGAGUGUUCACCUGCUGAAGAAAAUCGAUAUAAUGAAGAGCUCCAUGGAUGAACUGUGUUCCACCACCAGGAAACGUCAAGAACUCGCCAGUGACCUUCACCCAGUUCUGAUGUCCUUUUACCUCAGCUAGCUUUGUGUGUGGGACAUUGUGGUACCAUAUCUACUAGAUCACAUGCCACUUGAUGGCCUCCUUAUAACCUUCUGGGAGGGGGACGAGACACGUUGGUGGGUCUUCUGGGCAAUGUCUCUCUCUGUGCUCAAAAUGUCUUCUACUCCUUAGUUUCAUUAUAGCUUCUUCGUUGUCUAGGCAUGGUAUAUAGUCAGUUCCUGCAGUUGCAUUGCACAGCACCCAUGCAUUUCCAUCCAUAAUCCUCUCUACGGUGUUUGAUUCAGAUGUCUGUCUUUGUUUCUCGUCCUUAGAUUCUGUUGCCUGACUCUUCCAUGACUUCUGUGAUUCUGCAGAUUCUUUCGGUAUUCCAGAGCCAAAACCACUGGCUUCUGAACCCUGUUCGUGUUUUUUCUCAUCCUUCCGCUCUUCUUGUUGCUCCAUGUUUUCGUCCUUUGAUGUGCUCUCUUCUUCUUUGUUUCCGCUUUCUUCCUCUGCUGUGGUAUGUUCUUCCUGUUGGCCAUUCUCAUCUUUCAUGCUCUUCUCUCCCUUCCCGUUUUCUUCACUAGCUGUUGUCUUCUCCUCGUUUUGUUGUCCGGUUUCCUCAUUCCCUGAGUUUUGUUCCUCUGGUUGUCCGUUUUCUUCAUUCUUUGAGGUCUCUGAUGUUUCCCCCUGCCCCGUUUCCAUAGGUUGUUCUUGUUUGGUCGCAUCUGUGAAUGUCACAUCCGUAUUCGAAUCCUGUUCUUGCCCUUGUUUAUUUCCUUGUUCCACAUCCGGCUGUUCCUUCCCUUGUCCCUGCUCUUGCCCUUGAGUCCCUUUGGGCUGAGUCCCAGCGUCCUCGUCCCGCUGUUGUUUCUGUUCCUUUUCAAACUCCUUGACGACUUUUUUCAUCUGACCCUCCUCACUCUCUUGCACCGUCUGGUUCUCCUUGCCGUUAUCUUUCUCUUUUUCCUCGGAAAUUUUGUCAUCGUUGUUUUGUUGGGUCUCUUGUGUUUGAGUCUUUGAGCUCGUCGUUUCACUCUUCUCUUUCGCUGACUUCCGUUGCUCGUCUUCAGACUUUACGGCAUCGUCUGGAAGCUUUCCCGGAUUGUCUUCAAAUGCCUGUUGCUCAUCAGACUCUUGUUUCGUGGGUUCGGGCUCAUCAUUACCGUUUGAAGAGGCAGACACAUCACUCCUCUCUGUCUCUGCGACAGCCGCUCGAGUGGAGCCUUGUGUGAUCUGCGGUGGAAUAACGGAAUUGGAAGAAAGCAUCCACACCCCGAAGACACACAGAGCCACAAAGAUGACCAUUGUAAUGGUCGACGCAUAGGACGACGUCGAAGUGCGUUUGUUGCCACGUCCCCUCCCGAAGGCCAUCUUUACGGUCUUGCGUAUAGUACUAGUUAUGGAGAAAGAAGAAGAAGAAAAAUGAAGGAGUAAAAUGGGAGUUGAAGGAAGUAAAAAUAGAAGAAAAAGAAGAGAAAGAGAGGUUGUGAAGAGACAAGACUGGAUCAAAGAUCCUAUAGAGUCGGAUAUGGGACUUUCAAUUUCGUGUCUCUAAAUUUAGUUAUGGUCUCUGUGUUUCAUAUUUUGUUGUCCAUGAAAAAUUAGUGCCAUGUAAUCCAAUGUUAACUUGUAACGCCUAGUCAAGGAUAUAUUAAACAUGGCAAGCUUGUGCUUUUUUGGUAUAAUGUAUUCGAAGACUGUUUAAUUUGAAUUUUGAUUGAUUAAGUAUGUUGAUUUCAAUUUGAGUGUAUUUUUUGGUUGUUAUGGUAUUAUUUAUAAAAACAU